GAUGCAGCCAUGCCGCGUGUAUGAAGAAGGCCUUCGGGUUGUAAAAGUACUUUCAGUUGUGAGGAAGGGGGUGUCGUUAAUAGCGGCAUCUCUUGACGUUAGCAACAGAAGAAGCACCGGCUAACUCCGUGCCAGCAGCCGCGGUAAUACGGAGGGUGCGAGCGUUAAUCGGAAUUACUGGGCGUAAAGCGCAUGCAGGUGGUUCAUUAAGUCAGAUGUGAAAGCCCGGGGCUCAACCUCGGAACUGCAUUUGAAACUGGUGAACUAGAGUACUGUAGAGGGGGGUAGAAUUCCAGGUGUAGCGGUGAAAUGCGUAGAGAUCUGAAGGAAUACCAGUGGCGAAGGCGGCCCCCUGGACAGAUACUGACACUCAGAUGCGAAAGCGUGGGGAGCAAACAGGAUUAGAUACCCUGGUAGUCCACGCCGUAAACGAUGUCUACUUGGAGGUUGUGGCCUUGAGCCGUGGCUUUCGGAGCUAACGCGUUAAGUAGACCGCCUGGGGAGUACGGUCGCAAGAUUAAAACUCAAAUGAAUUGACGGGGGCCCGCACAAGCGGUGGAGCAUGUGGUUUAAUUCGAUGCAACGCGAAGAACCUUACCUACUCUUGACAUCCAGAGAAGCCAGC
rnacentral:rRNA from 1 species